UUGCUUUGUCCUAAGUCAAACUUGUUCAACAUUGACCAAAUUUAUAGAAAAAUAUAACAACAAUCAUACUAUCAAACAUAUGCACUACCAAAAGAUAUUCCAUGGUGGAUUCAACCAAACAAAUUUCGUAUUGUAAAUGUUGUUAUAUUUUAUACAAACUUGGUCAAAGUUGAACAAGUUUGACUUAGAACAAACCAAA
rnacentral:pre_miRNA from 1 species